ensembl:antisense Nckap5los NCK-associated protein 5-like, opposite strand
GCCUCAUUGGGGUCUCCUGCUUCAUCAGAAGAAGAUGAGGAGCUGCUGCCUGGAGCACAGUGUGGGCCGGAGCUGGGGCCCUGGGCUGGCGGUGGGGCCCUGCUAGAAGCCCAGGGUUGCCGGAUGCCUUCUUCUUCCCCAGGGCCCCCUAAGACCCGUUCCCAGUGCAGCAGUGCCCCCAGGCUCCCAGGACCGAGCAGCAGAAAUGGGGACAGGGCAUCCAGCGCCGGGGGUGGAGUGGCCGGGGGACCUGGACCGCCUGGCCGUAACUGCUGCUCCCAACACACCUGGGAGGAGAGAAGGCGUGAGGAGGAGGAGAGAUGGUGUGGCUGGUGCCUAGGCCUUAAGGAGCCUGCAGGAGAAGCAGCCUGUCCCUGAGACUCGUUAAGAACCCACGGUGGAGCCUCUAGCCAGUCCUGUCCACCCAGGAAGGACAGGAAGCAAAGCUGGCUUCCUCCCUCCUAGAAGCCAUGUCAAAAGGGAGGGGCAUCUAAGGCGUGGGAGAACCCUGAAGUCUAAGUGGCCCAUGUCACAGCGAUCUGAAGAAAACACUUCAAGGCCUUUGAGGCUCAUGACGUUGGUAGUGUUUUGAAGGCGAUAGAGAAGUCAGCUGGGCUCCGGAGCCUGUACCACGUGGUUGGCAACCUGGGGGCACAAAGUCCGGGAGCUGAGCUGGCGUUUUGCCCACCCUCCCCCGUCCCCAGCCCUGUCCUUCGGCAAACCCCACAGACCUCAUCCAGACAGCGUUCGUAAGUCUCCCUCUGGUUCUCAUUGGCCUGCGCAAGCGCCGAGUUCUCUGCCUGUAGGGUGAGGUGGAAAGGGGAAUCGUUGAGGCUCAUUUGUACCCUGGGAGCGAGGGUGGCAGAGUGGACAGGCUUUGCCCUGUCCAUCAAACUCCUGGACCAGGGUUAUCUGACCGUUUUACCCAGUAGCCUCUAUGGAUAUCACUGUCCUCGGAACCAGCCGGGUCGUAAAGGUGGGGUGAGGGUGGGGAAGAGACACUCGUGGCAUAGGACAGCUAUGUACCCUUCACUGUCACCCGAGCUGGAGAGUGAAGAGGAACCAGGGCUGACCCAGGGGAGCUUUAAUAAAGAACCGUCCAGCCCUCUCCUGUCUGGCAAGCCUUCUCCACAUUGAGCUCCACGGUGGGCAGCCCUGACUCCCCGUGCCCUGCCCUGCCCUGCCUGCCACCGUGUACCUCCAGCUCCCGAAGUCGGUGCAGAAGCUCCUGGCAGGUGCUGAGCUCCAUGCUGCCGUCCUCGCCAGCCGCUGCCCUCAGCUUUCCGGUGCCUCCGGCCGGCUGGUCCAUGGCCUUGGGAGUCAGGCUCUGGGAAUGAGGCCUGGCAGGCUACUCCCAGGCAGACCAGGAACAGGCAAGGAGAGAAGGCAGGAGGAGGGUGACAAAACUCUCUAGUGACCUCUGCUACACUGGUGAUAACGCAACAGCUCAAGAGAUUGGUCUAACUCCAUCUCCUGAGGACUGAAAGUGUGCACCAACCACGCCAGGCACCAAGGGGAUUUGAAAAGUAAAGAUGGGCUCAACCUAUGGCUCAGCAGGACACACACUGAAGACCAGAGACUAGUCUACCCUGGACACACAGGAGCACAGCAGGGCUCUGACUGGCACUGUGCUGUGUCUUUCCCAUCAAUGAGGCUCCUGCCGUUGCUGUUGGCUUGAAAUGACAAGUCUUCGUUUUUCAUC